rnacentral:tRNA from 1 species
GCCGAAGUGGCGGAAUUGGCAGACGCGCCGGUCUCAAAAACCGGUGUCUUUACGGACGUGUCGGUUCGCCCCCGACCUUCGGCACCA